GUAGGUGGCAAGCGUUGUCCGGAAUUAUUGGGCGUAAAGCGCGCGCAGGCGGUUCUUUAAGUCUGAUGUGAAAGCCCACGGCUCAACCGUGGAGGGUCAUUGGAAACUGGAGAACUUGAGUACAGAAGAGGAAAGCGGAAUUCCACGUGUAGCGGUGAAAUGCGUAGGGAUGUGGAGGAACACCAGUGGCGAAGGCGGCUUUCUGGUCUGUAACUGACGCUGAGGCGCGAAAGCGUGGGGAGCAAACAGGGAUUAGAUACCCUGGUAGUCCACGCCGUAAACGAUGAGUGCUAAGUGUUAGGGGGUUUCCGCCCCUUAGUGCUGCAGCUAACGCAUUAAGCACUCCGCCUGGGGAGUACGGCCGCAAGGCUG
rnacentral:rRNA from 1 species